AGUGAACGCUGGCGGCGUGCCUAAUACAUGCAAGUCGAACGGAGUGGCGCACGGGUGAGUAAUAUAUAUCUAAUCUGCCCCUUGCUGGAGGAAAACAGUUAGAAAUGACUGCUAAUACCCCAUAGCAAGGGAGGAGACUAUAACGUAUCAGCUAGUGGGUGUGGUAACGGCCUACCGAGGCUAUGACGAGUAACUGGUCUGAGAGGAUGAUCAUCAACAUUGGAACUGAGGCACCAUCGGAGAUCCUACGGGAAGCAGCGGUAGGGUAUAGUACGCAAUGGGGGAAAGCCUGAAGGAGCAUCGGCGCGUAGAGGAUGUCAAUUUUCGGAGCGUGAACUCCUUUUGUUAGGGAAGCGGUACCUACCGAAUAAGCACCGGCUAACUCCGUGCCAGCAGCCGCGGUAAUUC
rnacentral:rRNA from 1 species